rnacentral:snRNA from 1 species
AGCUUUGCGCAGUGGCAGUAUCGUAGCCAAUGAGGUUUAUCCGAGGCGCGAUUAUUGCUAAUUGAAAAGAUGGCCUAGCAGAGCAGGGUUACCCAUCAACACUGCAGUUUAGGGCACUUUUUAGGAGA